rnacentral:rRNA from 1 species
UACGGAGGGUGCGAGCGUUGUCCGGAAUCACUGGGCGUAAAGGGCGCGUAGGCGGCUCAUGAAGGCUGUGGUGAAAGUCCGGGGCUCAACCUCGGAUCGGCCGUGGCGACUCGUGGGCUGGAGCACUGUAGAGGCGGGUGGAAUUCCGGGGUGUAGCGGUGGAAUGCGUAGAGAUCCGGAAGAACACCAGUGGCGAAGGGCGGCCUUCUGGACCCAGCACUGACACUCAAAGCACGAAA